AGCGAACGCUGGCGGCAGGCCUAACACAUGCAAGUCGAACGAAGCCUUCGGGCUUAGUGGCGGACGGGUGAGUAACACGUGGGAACGUACCUUUUGGUUCGGAAUAACGCAGAGAAAUUUGCGCUAAUACCGAAUGAGCCCUUCGGGGGAAAGAUUUAUCGCCGAAAGAUCGGCCCGCGUUGGAUUAGGUAGUUGGUGUGGUAAAGGCGCACCAAGCCUACGAUCCAUAGCUGGUCUGAGAGGAUGAUCAGCCACACUGGGACUGAGACACGGCCCAGACUCCUACGGGAGGCAGCAGUGGGGAAUCUUGCGCAAUGGGCGAAAGCCUGACGCAGCCAUGCCGCGUGAAUGAUGAAGGUCUUAGGAUUGUAAAAUUCUUUUACCAGGGACGAUAAUGACGGUACCUGGAGAAAAAGCCCCGGCUAACUUCGUGCCAGCCGCCGCGGUAA
rnacentral:rRNA from 1 species